ensembl:lncRNA novel transcript
GAGACUGGGCUCUCACCAGACCAAGUGAGAUGAAAGCAGAGACUGGGCUCUCACCAGACCAAGUGAGAGCACCUUGAUCUUGGACUUUCCAGCCUCCAGAACCGAGGUUCUGAGAGCUGGAACAUGUGCAAUGUAUACAUGAUGAAGUAAAGUAAAACCCCAGAUUCUGAAGGAUGUUCACGUACUUGAGAUACUCAUCCAUGGAGUCAUGAAUUCAGAAACUAGUCCAGAAUAUAAGAAGGCUGCCUAUUAUAAGGCUUUACACAAGGACUUCAUUAUGUUAUCAAGUUAAGAUGAGUUCAUACUAGAUUAUGGUGGGCCCUAGGCCAAUGACUGAUGUUCUUAAAAGAGAAAUUUGGACAUCGAUUCAGGCAGAGGGACGAUGGCUAUGUAAAGAUGAAGGCAGAGAUUGGGGGGAUGCUGCCACAAGCCAACAAUACCAACCAC